UGCCCCGAAGUGGGGAAUAACUGCCCGAAAGGGUGGCUAAUACCGCAUGUGGAGACACAUUCGUUUGUGUCUCUAAAGCCGUAAGGCGCUUCGGGAGGGGCCUGCGUCCGAUUAGCUCGUUGGUGGGGUAACGGCUCACCAAGGCGACGAUCGGUAGGUGGUCUGAGAGGACGAUCACCCAGACUGGGACUGAGACACGGCCCAGACUCCUACGGGAGGCAGCAGUCGGGAAUUUUGGGCAAUGGGCGAAAGCCUGACCCAGCAACGCCGCGUGAGGGAUGAAGGCCUUCGGGUCGUAAACCUCUUUUCUCAGGGACGAUAAUGACGGUACCUGAGGAAGAAGCCACGGCUAACUACGUGCCAGCAGCCGCGGUAAUACGUAGGUGGCGAGCGUUGUCCGGAUUUACUGGGCGUAAAGAGCGCGCAGGCGGUCGUGCAAGUCGAAUGUGAAAGCCCCCGGCUCAACUGGGGAGGGUCAUUCGAUACUGCUCGACUAGAAGGCAGGAGAGGGAAGUGGAAUUCCCGGUGUAGUGGUGAAAUGCGUAGAUAUCGGGAGGAACACCAGUGGCGAAGGCGACUUCCUGGCCUGUUCUUGACGCUGAGGCGCGAAAGCUAGGGGAGCAAACGGGAUUAGAUACCCCGGUAGUCCUAGCCGUAAACGAUGGACACUAGGUGUUGGCGGUAUCAACCCCGCCAGUGCCGAAGCUAACGCAUUAAGU
rnacentral:rRNA from 1 species